rnacentral:lncRNA from 10 species
GUCUCUUGCACUUGACCCCUUGGUUUUUUAUGCCCCCAGUGCACCUGCUUUGGGACUCCACUUGUCCAUUGGACUUCCUCACCCUCACUGCUGUGGCCUGCAAUUGACAAUAUCAUGUCAAAGUCAUGUCUUGAGUUUCCAGCUAGGCUAGGAUCCUUGCUGAUUCCUCUCCCCCAACAGUAUCUUUGAUCAUGCUAGGCAAGCUGAAUUAAAUUGUAGUAAGUGCAUUCAUUGAUAGAAAAAUUGCAGAAAAAUUGCGGGUUCAAUCCAGCCAAUGUAACACUUUAUUAUCAUAAUACAAUGUGAUUAUUCUCUUGAAUCAACUGUUUUCAUUCUAAAGCAUCUGUGGAAUUUCAUGGAGCAGAAAUGUAGUGCACAUUUCAUACCUCCAAAUGUUUUAAGCCAAAUUAUAAUUGCAGACAGCCCUUAUAAAUCUAAUUACAUGCCUUACAGUGACUCCACAGGUACACAGGCCAGAUGGAAUUAAUAUAUUACUGCUGCUAUUAAUCACGUGAGAUUAAGACAAAUAAUAUAACAUGAUUAUAUAAAAUGAUCUGCCAUUUAUCUGCUGUGAUCACCUACUUCAUUAAGGUAUUGGCAGCAUUUAGCAAGGCUGGUGUUGCAGUCUGUUUUUUUGCUAUAAAAGAAUACAUGUAGCUGGUAGUUUAUAAAGAAAAGAGGUUUAUUUGGCUUAUCGUUCUGCAGGCUAUACAAGAAGAAGCAUGGCACCAGCAUCUGCUUCUGGUGAGCAGCUCAGGCUGCUUCCAUUCCUGGUGGAAGGGAAAGGGGAGCUGACUUGUGCAGAGAUCACUUCCAAGAGGGAAAUCAAGAGAGAGAGGUCAAACGGUGUAAACUUUGCUGGAAGGAACCUUACUCAGAGGGCCAAUCACCUGCUUCUCUAGAGUUCUCAAGCUCUCCUGUGAGCACCAGGUUGAGCUGCAGAAAGCCAGAACCAGCUCAGAAACUGAGAAAUGGACAUGAAGAUGCCCAGGUCUGCAGAUGGUUUCCAUUCUGAAAAGUGAUAGUCCCAAGGGGGACUGGCAUGCAGUCAUUCAUUCAACAAUUGUGCUCCUACUCUGUGAAGUAUUGGGGAUACAGUGCUGAGCACAGACAGACCUAGUCUCUGUCCUUUGCACCUUUCAGUGAAGGAUAGGAGGUAGACAUUGAUGCAACAAGCACCCGAGUAAAUGUAAGACCAUGCAGUGAUAAAGGCCGUGGAGGAAGGGCCCAUGCAGGGGCAGAAAACAGAGGAAGGGGCUGGUGGAGCAGCUCCUCUAGCUCAAGGCUGAGUGGUAUAAACUGUAGCUACUGCAUGAUCUGAACGUGUCUUAAGGAGGGUAUCCCCAAAGCGGGCUCAUUGGGAGUUACUGUGGAGCGCUAGUUUAUUGUAAUUGCCAUAUGUUUAUAAGUAAUGGAAUCCUAGAAUUAGAAGGAACUUCGGUCACCUUUUAAUUUAAUAUUUAUCUUUCUCAAUCCAGGAAACAUCUCUACAGCAUCCCUAACUGGGGGUUGAUCCAUUCAUUUCCAGACACAGAGAACAGAGUCACAUUCUGCUGUUUCCAUAUGUACCAUUUUAGUAAGACUUCUUGGGGCACAAGGCAGGAAGUUGGGGACAAUAUAUUUGUCUGCACCAAGGCAGCCUGAGAAGAGAGAAGUGAAUACUCCUGGGGUUAUUCUAUAUUAUUCACUUAAUAUUCUAAGUGAGUCCUCUAGGGGUACCUGAGACAUGGAGUAUGAAAGUACACAUUCACAAAAGUACCAGCUUUAAAACUAGAUUAUCUCUACUAUUCAAAAACACCAAGGAAAGGCCACACAAUGGAGACAAAGUGCAUCUGAGAUCUAGCAAAUUUCCCUGUUGGCCACAUACUGAUAAUGAUGUAUUAAAAUCAAUUCUAUACUGUGGGGUACUUAUUUGACAUUAAUAGGUACCAUGGUGGUUUAACAUAGUUGCUGCCCAGAGAAAACGCCGCACACUCACCUACACUAAAAUGAAGUCUGAGUCAGCUGCCUCCCCUCCGCCAUCCCUUCCAAAGCCAAUGGUUGAAAGUCACAGAAGUCCCUCUGCUGCCACCUAGUGACGACAAUGUGAAUACAACUACACAGCCUCCUGGGAAAGAAGUUUUGAACCACGUUUGCUUCUAAAGGAAGCCUGUAAUUACCUCUGAGUGCUCUAUUUUGGCUACAAUUUAAAAACAUAUAUAUUUUAAAACUCUAUAAACUCUUAUGCAUAUCCCUUUUUAAGAAUCUGACCUGUAAUGGAUGUAGCCUCACUUUCAAGAACCUAAAAGCUAUGCCCCCAAUUCAGGGAGUAGAACAGACAGGCUUAAGAACAGUGCCUAAAAAUGCCACUAAAUUUAUCUUUAAAAUGCCUGUGGUUCCUUAGCACUUGAAUUCCGUUAUGCCCCUGGGUAUAGUCACCUGGAUGUUAGGGGCUGUCAAAAUUCAGCCCUCAGUUGGUGAUCAGUAGGUUUUCCCUUUAAGUGGUUUCUGAAAGGAUUUUUUUUAAAAAUCUUGAAAUUCUCAUGUCUGGAUGAUGUUUCCAGUUUUGUGGAAGAAUAAAAGAAAAGGGACAUGAAAUUCUGGCUCCCUGGGGGCAGUGGCUGUGUCUUAUUAAUCUCUGUGCCCAUUGUACCAACACCGGUCAGUCACAGCAUGUACUCAACCAAUGCUGAUGAAUGCAGAGGGGCGAGGGGCUGGCACGCUCUUGACCCCUUAUAGGGGCUGCGUCGAUGGCCAGGGUUCAAUGGGAACUUUCUGGUACAGUCUUGCUCUGCCAAUCUUUCAAAUUAAGUGCAGCACAAUUGGAAGCCUCACAUUCUCAUAGACGGGUUGAGGAGGGCAUUAGGGGCAGAAAGGCUCACAUAAGGCCUGAGCGUGAGGUUUCCUGCCCAGCACUGCUGUGCCAUUGCAGCCCACCUUCUUCUCACCUUUCCUUCCACACCACGGCGCGGCAGGUGCAGAAACCGUGCUGGGAUUGAGGCCCUAGAGGCUGACUACAGGUCUUGGGGGCAAAACAUCUGGACACACAGCUGAAGAUGAGCCAAGUAUAUUAGUCAGGGUUCUCUAGAGAAACAGAACCAACAAGAUAGAGAGAUGCAGAGAGACAGAGGGACAGACAGACAGAUUUAAGUAACUGACCCAUAAAAUCUUGGAGGCUUGGCAAGUCCAAAAUCUGCAAGAUGGAAGUGGGCUGGCACAUUGGAGACUCAAGGAAGAGUUGCACGUUGAGUUCAAAGGCCGGCUGCUGGCAGAAUUCCUUUCUGCUCAGGUGAAGUCGGUCUCUGUUCUAUUAAGACCUUCAACUGAUUGGAUGAGGUCCACCCAUAUUAUGAAGGGUCAUUUGCUUUACUCAACAUCUACUCAUCUAAAUAUUAAUCUCAUUGAAAAAAAACCCCAGAAACAUCCAGAAUAGCAUUUGACCAAAUGUUUGGACAAUGCAGCCUAGCCACAUUAACACACAAAAUUAACUGUCACAGCAAGACACCAGGGAAGCAUUGGAAGAUGUUAGCGGCUGUCAUUGAAAUGGGUGCCGUCAGGUGGACGGCAGCCAUCCAUCGGGCAAGAGCGGGGCAGCUGGAAGGGCCCUCCCCUCCCGUUUGCUUUCUGCUCUUCACAGCUCACGGAUAGAGGAAUUUUCUCAGCACAUUUCCCAGGAGGAGUUUGGCACCACCAUUUCUUGAAAACAGAUGUCUGCAGGGAUGUGUGUGUGCCUGUGAAUAUGAAGUCCAGAGCCUGGGACUGAGAACAGCAAGGGGAACAGGUGGCCACAGGGGAGUUGCCAGAUUGCUGACUUAAGAUGUGCUCCCAGGGCUGCACUGGUGUCGGUCGUGAGAGCGAUCACGGUUUGUGCAACGUCUGAACUUUCUAUCAACUUAUGGUUUAAUCAAUUUGCUGUUUACUCCAGCUAUUUGCAACCUCUCCUCAGUUACUUGGUGUUCAGCAGUGUAAUAUAUCUUCAUGUGUGAAUAUAAAUAUACUAUUUAGUGGAAACUAAAAGGAAUUGUGGAGGAAGAAUUUUUUUGGAUAAUUUUAUGUUUUCAUAAUGUAAAAAUUAAAGAUAUUUGAAGAGUUGAGUAUGUCAGUUUUGGGGAUGCAAGAGAAUGACUUCGGGACUACCAUAAUAUUUAAAAUCAUCACUACUCUUUCUUUCCACCUAAGUCUCAUAGCAAAAGAGGAAAUUUACUUCAGUCUCUUUCUGUAGCAGAACAUUAUCGUGCUGUAUUCCUGUGUUCACUUAUCUGCGCUGGAUUGUGAGUCCUUACAGAGAGAAAUUGUUAUGUGCUAUGUUCCCAACACCUGCACAUUAUAGGUGGUCACUAAGUGCUUGAUGAAUAAAUGAAUGAGGGAAUAAUAUUGUUUAUUAUUUUUUGCUGUUAUUUAUAAUUGGGAGUGGGUAGGAUUUGGAUUAUGAAGACUCUGGGAAGCCUCAUAAGAACCUCAGACUCACUGGGCACGGUGGCUCACACCUGUAAUCCCAGCACUUUGGGAGGCCGAGGCAGGCGGAUCACGAGGUCGGGAGAUCGAGACCAUCCUGGCUAACACGGUGAAACCCGGUCUCCACUAAAAAUACAAAAAACUAGCCAGGUGUGGUGGCGGGCGCCUGUAGUCCCAGCUACUCCAGAGGCUGAGGCAGGAGAAUGGCCGUGAACCCAGGAGGCGGAGGUUGCAAUGAGCCGAGAUCGCACCACUGCACUCCAGCCUGGGCGACAGAGCAAGACUCCAUCUCAAAAAGAAAAACCUCAGACCAGACUCAACGUGUCCAAAAAAGAGCUCACCUUGUACCCCUAGAUCCUGAAGCGGCUUCCAGUAGCUCAACCUCCUCCCAUCCAGUUCCAUCUCUGCCAGGGAUCUUUUAAAAAUGCAAAUCUCAUUAUGUCUCUUUCCUGCCUCAAACCUCCCAGUGGUUCUCCAGUCUGUCAGGAGAGGGUAUAGACUGUGGCCUGGCCCGGGAAGUUCUUUGAGGUCAACCCCUGCCUACUCAUCUUGCUAACUCUUAUGGCUCUCUGACACUAGGCUUUUGCUCCAAUCAUAUAAGCAACUGUAUUUCCAUAAAAUUGCAAUGUUCUUCCCUACCUCCUCACUUAACUAAUUUUCACUUUACUGAUCAUUUCUUAUUUUACUAUCAGCGUCUCUUUCUCCUUAUUCUUCAGGGAACAUUUCUCUCCACCAUCCUGUGCCACACUGUGGGGGUGUCAGUAACACCCUCUGUCCUCUCCUGGCCAAAGGAAAGGGGUGUCAUUCAGCCCAGGCCCCUGGAUCCUCAUCUUGGGAUUUGGAAAUGUGACCGAAGUGACAUAAAAAAAAGACAUGAAGUGCGAGGAGCUCAUUCAGUCAGCUCUGCAGCUCCAGCUGGGUUACCUGUGAGUCCUUGCUAGCCAGAUCCCUUGAUUUGCCGUGACUCCUGCCUUUGCCAAGUCUGUCUUCAUAGAUUCUUUCAAAUGUGGUUCCAUCUUGCCUGAGUUCGUCAGAGCCAGAUUCUGUGCUGUAAUAAAAAACCCCAAAUCAACUCACCUCUCACCCUCCACAAUGCAGCUUCUGGAAGAUUCCAGAUGCCCCAGCCUGACUGAGAAUUCUCUCUCCUCUGCUCUCAAAGUCCCUUUGGGUGCUUCUACCAAAGCACUGACAGCGUGAUUCUGAUUUGAUCGCUGGUGUCUGAGAGCUGUGAACGUCUUGAUGGUUUUGGCGCCCAGCACCAUUCCUGCCUCAUAAUUGGCACGUGAUAAAGGCUUGUCGCAUUCCCUCAUUCAAAAUAAACAUAGAAGACAAUCCAGAGAUUGCAGCUUCACAGAAAUCACAGAAGGAAAUUUAUAUUUAUAGAGACGGCAUAUAAAAUUUUAAAACAAUUUUAAUGAAAAUCUUGAAAAUAGACAUUCUCUUCUUUAAACAACAUAAACUGAACAAACUCAGUCUGUUUUGGUGCCUCUGUGAGUACCCUCGGUUGCUCUGGGCUGCUGUGCGAUGCUGACCGGGACUUCCUCAGAGGCCUCAUCUUCUGCAUCCAGUGGACUUGCAAGCCACUUUACACUUCCUGGGUGAUAAGGUUUGGAUUUGUGUCCCCGCCCAAAUCUCACGUGGAAUGUCAUUCCUAAUGUUGGAAGAGGGGCCUGGUGGGAGGUGAUUGGAUCAUGGGGGCAGAAUUCCCUCUUGCAGUUCUCUUGGUAGUGAGUUCUCACAAGAUCUGGUUGUUUAAAAGUAUGUAGCACCUCCUGCUUUCGCUGUCUUCCUCCUGCUCCCGCCAUGUAAGACGUGGCCUCCUUUCCCUUCGCCUUCCGCCAUGAUUGAAAGUCUUCAGAGGCCUCCCCAG